GGAUGUGAGGGGACCCAUGACUGUAACAUCUGUCCCCUCUCCCCCCGUUGAUCGCCAGGGUUGAUUUCAACUGUCUAGGUGAGUGUCCCCUUCCUCCCUCACUCCAUGUACAGUCCCCCUUAAGUGUGUAAUGCUUGAUUGAAGAGUUUGACCUUCCUCAAGUAGAGAGUGGUCUUCGGUUGAGGGUAUGCAAGCAGCCAUGUCCUUCUGCUACAGCCUCCAGACAAGCUCUCAAGAAAACCCUUGUCAAUACCUCCAGGUUCUGGAGUCACACCAUGGGCGUCAGGUGGAAGCCUG
rnacentral:snRNA from 1 species